AGGGGCAGCGGGGAAAAGCUUGCUUUUCCGCCGGCGACCGGCGCACGGGUGCGCACCGCGUAUGGAACCUGCCUUGUACAGGGGAAUAGCCCAGGGAAACUUGGAUUAAUGCCCCGUAGUACCGUAUUUCGGCAUCGUUAUACGGUUAAAGCCUUCGGGNGGNUACANAAGGGCCAUGCGUCCCAUUAGCUUGUUGGUAAGGUAACGGCUUACCAAGGCUACGAUGGGUAGGGGCCCUGAGAGGGGGAUCCCCCACACUGGUACUGAGACACGGACCAGACUCCUACGGGAGGCAGCAGUGAGGAAUAUUGGACAAUGGAGGAGACUCUGAUCCAGCCAUGCCGCGUGCAGGAAGAAUGCCCUAUGGGUAGUAAACUGCUUUUAUACGGGAAGAAAAAGAGCUACGUGUAGCUUACUGACGGUACCGUAAGAAUAAGGACCGGCUAACUCCGUGCCAGCAGCCGCGGUAAUACGGAGGGUCCGAGCGUUAUCCGGAAUUAUUGGGUUUAAAGGGUCCGUAGGCGGGCCGAUAAGUCAGGGGUGAAAGUCUGCCGCUCAACGGUAGAACUGCCUUUGAUACUGUCGGUCUUGAGUUAUAGUGAAGUUGCCGGAAUAUGUAGUGUAGCGGUGAAAUGCAUAGAUAUUACAUAGAACACCGAUUGCGAAGGCAGGUGACUAACUAUAUACUGACGCUGAUGGACGAAAGCGUGGGGAGCGAACAGGAUUAGAUACCCUGGUAGUCCACGCCGUNNCGAUGGAUAC
rnacentral:rRNA from 1 species